rnacentral:rRNA from 1 species
CUACGGGGGGCACCAGUGAGGAAUAUUGCACAAUGGGGGGAACCCUGAUGCAGCAACGCCGCGUGGAGGAUGACGCAUUUCGGUGUGUAAACUCCUUUUAUAUGUCAAGAAAAUGACAGUAGCAUAUGAAUAAGCACCGGCUAACUCCGUGCCAGCAGCCGCGGUAAUACGGAGGGUGCAAGCGGUACUCGGAAUCACUGGGCGUAAAGGACGCGUAGGCGGGUUGGAAAGUCAGGUGUGAAAUCCUACAGCUUAACUGUAGAACUGCACUUGAAACUUCUAAUCUAGAGUAUGGGAGGGGGAGAUGGAAUUAGUGGUGUAGGGGUAAAAUCCGUAGAUAUCACUAGGAAUACCUAAAGCGAAGGCGAUCUCCUGGAACAUUACUGACGCUAAGGCGUGAAAGCGUGGGGAGCAAACAGGAUUAGAUACCCUUGUAGUC